rnacentral:rRNA from 1 species
UACAGAGGGUGCAAGCGUUGUUCGGAAUUAUUGGGCGUAAAGGGCGCGUAGGCGGCUUGGGAAGUCCGCGGUGAAAGCUCGAGGCUCAACUUCGAGUCGGCCAUGGAUACUCCUAAGCUCGAGUCGACUAGGAGGCAGAUGGAAUUCCGGGUGUAGCGGUGGAAUGCGUAGAGAUCCGGAAGAACACCGGUGGCGAAGGCGGUCUGCUGGGGUCGAACUGACGCUGAGGCGCGACAGCGUGGGGAGCAACAGGAUUAGAGUACC